UACAGAGGUCUCAAGCGUUGUUCGGAUUCAUUGGGCGUAAAGGGUGCGUAGGCGGCGCGGUAAGUCGGGUGUGAAAUCUCGGAGCUUAACUCCGAAACUGCAUUCGAUACUGCGGUGCUUGAGGACUGGAGAGGAGACUGGAAUUCAUGGUGUAGCAGUGAAAUGCGUAGAGAUCAUGAGGAAGACCAGUGGCGAAGGCGGGUCUCUGGACAGUUCCUGACACUGAGGCACGAAGGCCAGGGGAGCAAACAGG
rnacentral:rRNA from 1 species